rfam:Spermophilus tridecemlineatus cont1.081929, whole genome shotgun sequence.
UGUGUGGAAAUGAACUCUUGUUAGAGUUUCAAAGGAAUUAAUAUAUUUUUUUUUGGUAAAAUGUGCUAAUGUAAAGAGUUAGAAGAUUAGUGAUGUUUAAUGAAUAGAAUGCAUUCUUUCUCAUGGAAAUGGGAAUAUAAUAAGUGUCCUGUAGGUGAUUGGGUUGUAGCAAUUUUAUUGAAGAUUAAAGUUUGAUUGACCUUUGUUAGGGUGAUUAACCUCUCAGAAAUUAAAAGCCAGAUUGGAAUUAGUCUGUCCAAUUUAAAUGCAAA